AAUUUCACUCUCCUGCUAGUGAGGGUGCCAUCUCCAUACUUAAUGAUGCAUGUGUAUUUGCCUACAGCGAAACUUACUCAUGUAGGCUAAGUGGUAAACAAAUCCCAGCUUUUCCAGAAAUUUGGUUCUGGAAUUUUGCCAAGUAUGUUUUUAACAAACAGGCAAGAUUUAGGUUUAAUUAGCAGCAACUACCUUUGACUUUGGUGUUGAAAUUAAAAAUUCUUAAAAGUUGUUUAUUUAUUAUGUAAAUUAAAUAUCUCUUAAAGUUUAUUUACAUCAAAGUUUAAUUUACAUGACACAUUUGAUUGGUUGACCAUUUCUUUGUGGCUCAAUCUAAUAAAAGUUCAAAGGAUCUCAAACUUGAAGGGAAGUUCAGGUCACUAAGGUCCACACUGUGGCAGCUGGUGGGAGGCCAACUGUCCACGGCCCAGGUGUCCCCUUCCCAGAUCACAGCAUAUCCAGGCUGCAUCUGGACAGACGGGCUUGGGCACAUGUGGAGCAAAUCUCCAGUCUGCUCAUGGUUUUACGUGUCUCAGUAACUGUGGGCUUAGGCCUAUGCUGGCCUCUCAUCUAGCUGUGUGGUAAGGACUUACAUAUCCAGAUGUGAAUGUAUGCAUUGCUGUCUUGAUUCUUGCUUUUAAAAAUCACGAAGACCUAAAAAUAGAAAUUUUUCUCUAAAAAUAGUUCCCUAAAGAACACUGGACUAGAACCCCCACACUCUGAGCUGAUGCUGUACUGAUCCUCUUUGCUAAAUUCUUGCCGGUAAAAAAAAAACCUGUAAUAGCCAUAUGUAGGGCCUGCCCAGCUUGCAAGCUGGGAUGUGCGGAACUGUUAGGAAUGUAGCAGCAGUACGCCCUACACCAUUACGCUCCAGUUCUGAACAUGAACUUGGAGAGAUCAUUGCAUUUCAGUAGCUUUUAGAACGAUCUCUUUUUGCUAUCUUAUUAAAUCUUUUAACCACUUGAGUUUCUGUUUCCUUGCAUGCAAAAUGAGGGUAGAAAUAUUGCCUACCUCGCAGGAUGAGUGCGAGGAGGAAAUAAAAUCCUAUGUGUGGUGAGCAUUCUGUGCACCCAAACUAUAAAGAUGCCAACCUCAGGUCUCUUGAAUUCCCAAUAGCAGUUGCCACAGGACUGGGCACAUAGGCAAAACCAAUUGAUCAAACGAAAGAAACCAAUUCCAUUUGAGUUUAACGUGUGCCCUUUGAUUGACAGCCAUCAAAGCCAAGGUGUGACCAACUGCCCAAUCCUGUUACGAUGGUGAGAUCAGAACCAGCUGUGAAGGGAACAAGGUAUUGUUAGAAAAUUAUGGGAGGGGAAUAUGGCAACACUACUUAAAUUUUAUAUGCUAAACCAGGGGUCUUGCCAAAAUUGUGAAAAACAGGGAUUCCCAAUUCUGGUUCUACCUUGGGGUCACUGGAAUCCUGAAGUCCAUUUAGCACCUAACUCUGCUCCCUGAGUCCAGCCCAGCUCAGCCCUGGCCUCCUGGCUGGCCCAGCCUGGGCUGCCUGGCCUCUUGCCACCUUCAGUGACCUGAAAUUAACAUCUUCAGCAGCACUGAUUAUGCUUGUGAUGGUCUUUGCACAGCUACUGCAAUCAGCAUUUUUAUGUAAAUCAAAUGUCUAUGGCAUAAAUGUCCUCAGUUGGUUAGUAAAUUUCAGAACCGAAGAAACAAAAGAGAAAUGUUUUGGAGAUCAGUCUGGAAAGAAAGAGGAAGGAGAGAGCAGAGAGCUGGGAAGUGUCUGGACCAUGUGGCCAUGGGACUCCAAGAAGUAGAGAUUCAUUUACUCAGUCAACAAAUAUUUCUCAAGCUAGUCCUAGUGGCAGGGCACACAGCCAGAUGGGGGAAGACGUGCAGACAAGCAAUAAAGAUGAAUUAUGACAGGUGUUGUGACCGGGGACAGGGGCUCUCUGAGCUCAAGGUGGAGACCUUGACCAGUCCAGGGAAAGAGAAAACCUCCCUGAAGAAAUGAACUCUAAGAUGAAACUGGAAGGCUAAUUAUCCAAGCUGCCAUGCCACUUCUACCGGAGCUAACUCACGGCAAUAUUAGCAUCGAAACUGAGAUCUCUGGCUGUGGGGCCAAGACCGCCCCAGCCAGCCCCACUACUUCCUAGCCCUGUAACCAUGGGCAUUUGACUCAGCCUGUUUUCUCACUGAUAAAAUGAGCAACUAUCUUAGAAUUUCUUGGGAGAAUUAAAUGAGGUAGUACAUUGAAAGCCCUUAAUAGGAUCCCUGGCACAUAAUAAACUCUCAAUAAAUGUCAACUAGUAUUAUUUUAAUUAAAUAUGGUAGUUGUUGAAAUUACACAGUUUAGUUAAGGCAGUGGUUUUCAAACUUUUUAAGUGGCAAAAAUAUUUCCUCCAAAUAAAUCAUGCAGAGCCACCCAUCAUCUACAAACACCUAAAAGCUGAGCUAUCCAUCGUCUACCUAGGUUCUUCUGUGGCAGAGCUCCAUGGAGCCCAGGUGGAAGCCAUUGCACAGGACACUCUGCUGCACGCCCCCCAUAAAGACACAGGUGCGAGUGGCAGGUGAGGGCCUGGGGGGCGGGGCCAGCAUGUGGGGGGUGGCUGGUUUGUAGGUCUGGGUCACAGUGGGCACUGCCUCCCUUGGGGCCCCGCAGCUCUGCCCGUGUGUACCAGAGAAGAGUAGAAUGGAGAGGCCUGACCGCCAUCCACAUUUCCCCUCAUUUCUGAACUUAAACCUGAUGGCAUUAAGUUUUCUCUUACGCUCACACUACUUCUUUAGGAUCCUGCCUGUCCUUGGCAAAAUCCUCACGACGUGAAACAGGACUGUCAGGAAAAAUAUGCCAGACUUGAAGCUGAUCAUAAAAAGGCCCAGAUGUUAUUGUGUAAUAAGGAAAGUUCCAACCAUCAUUCAGUUGAAAGCUCAGAAGUAAGCUGCACGUGACAUAUUACUGUAAGACAAGUGUGAAGGACUUGCAUUUUAUUUCCACAAAGGAAUGAAUAAAGGGAAAGGAAUUUACUUUUGGAAAAAGGUAAAAUAAAGAACUUUUGACUAUGAGGGAGACUGAGGAAUUCUCAUCCCUGGAGAUAUUUUGAAAUAAUAUUACGACCCAUCUGUGGUGGUUUACGGUUGAUCUAAGCAAGAUGGCCUCCUGGUGCCCCUUCUUUCCCUGUGAAGGUACUUUUCCUAUAAUGCCCGGCUCCUAGUUCCUGCCUUUGCUGUUUCCACUAGAGCCACCGAGGCCUUGAGGGCCCCUUUCAGAACUACCACCUUGGCUCUGAAGUGCCUGCCUCGCAUACCAUGAGAGCAGCAGCAGCAGCAGCACUCAGGCUUGUCUGUAAAACACACAAAUAUUUUCCUGAAGAUACAUAGAUUUCUCAGGGUAAACUUGUAUUAGGACAGUA